GAUGAACGCUGGCGGCGUGCCUAACACAUGCAAGUCGAACGGAGAUUAUUCGCUGCGGAGCCUUCGGGCGAAGCUUGAAUGAUCUUAGUGGCGGACGGGUGAGUAACGCGUGGGCAACCUGCCUUGCACAGGGGGAUAGCAGUUGGAAACGACUGGUAAUACCGCAUAUCUUAGAGAGACCGCAUGAUCUUUUUAAGAAAACGUUAGUGGUGCAAGAUGGGCCCGCGUCCGAUUAGAUAGUUGGUGGGGUAACGGCCUACCAAGUCGACGAUCGGUAGCCGACCUAAGAGGGCGGACGGCCACAUUGGGACUGAGACACGGCCCAGACUCCUACGGGAGGCAGCAGUGGGGAAUAUUGCACAAUGGAGGGAACUCUGAUGCAGCGACGCCGCGUGAGUGAAGAAGUAUUUCGGUAUGUAAAGCUCUAUCAGUAGGGAAGAUAAUGACGGUACCUACAUAAGAAGCCCCGGCUAAAUACGUGCCAGCAGCCGCGGUAAUACGUAUGGGGCAAGCGUUAUCCGGAUUUACUGGGUGUAAAGGGAGCGUAGGCGGCAGUACAAGUCGGGAGUGAAAACUCGGGGCUCAACCCCGAGACUGCUCUCGAAACUGUACAGCUAGAGUGCAGGAAGGGCAGGCGGAAUUCCUGGUGUAGCGGUGAAAUGCGUAGAUAUCAGGAGGAACACCGGUGGCGAAGGCGGCCUGCUGGACUGUAACUGACGCUGAGGCUCGAAAGCGUGGGGAGCGAACAGG
rnacentral:rRNA from 2 species